AAGCGCACGUUCCGCCGCCCCGCGCCCGCCUUUGUCCCCCGGACAGCGACCGGGCGCGUCCCGCCGCCCUGCCCCGGGCGCUGCCCGCUGAGCAUCUGGAGAGAGGGAGAGAGAGAGAGAAAGGGCGCGUUCAUGAGGACUACAAAGUUACAAAUAUGGCUCCCCAGUCUCUCUUGCCUGAUCACUGCAAAGAAAUGAAGACGCACUUUAAACUAAACCAUUCGCAACUCACUCGCAGUCCCUGUCUGCCUCUCCCUGCCCAGCACCCUGCACAAAUAUUUGCGAACUAAACACGCCGAGAGAGAGAGGAGCGAGCAACUUAUUUUUUAUUUAACGCACGGCGAGCCCCCCUCCGAGGCAUCGCAGCCCGGCACGGGCAGGAGCGGCCGCGGGUCCCCCCAAAGCACCCCGGGCACCCCCAAACCGGGCUGCACGGCCCCCUACACACACACAGGCAGCUGCAGGGAUGAGGUGCCAGCUGUGCCCUGGCAGGGUUCUCUGUGUCAGGUGCCAACCUCCUCACCUGCUCCUCUCCAUGGACUCGUGACGGGUUUCAUCAAACCCAGGGCACCGCUUCCAUCAGGGGAAGCAGCACACAGUGCAGGACAGAGAUGAAGCUUCACCUGUGUCUGUGGAUAAACUGCCAUGAAUAUGGGUGACAGCUAAGCAGGAAUUCUGUUGGGAGAGUAAAAGGAAAAGGUCCAGCUGGAUCCAGCUUCAGGUGUGACCAAAGGUGACCCCUGGGCUGAGGCUGCAGGAAGGUUUGGGCUGGAAUUUGUUUCCGUGGAACGGGUGAAGACCUUUGGAAAAGAACUUUUGUCAAGGAAACAAACUGUUUAUAAGUAUAUCCUCAAACAAGGAGUUUCUGAGAGUACAGACAGGCUUUUCCCUUUGUUUUCUCAGAAGGAAACAACGCUCUAAUUAUUUAAAGUUGUAUAAAAUGCCCCCCUGUGAACUGUUGGGGGGAAUUUAUUCCGAGUUCAAAGUCAAAAUUAGGUCUUUAAAACUUGUUGGUUGUCCCUCUGCCCUUUUCAUGUGCACGUUGCUGGGGAGUCUGGGAACUAAAAAUAAAUGGAAAUGUUUUGCAGGAUAAAUAUCCGAGUAUCUUAUCAAACUGGAAAUAAAUUUUAAAUAACAUUUUUGCAGAGUACAGCUUUUUCUUAACAAAAAAAAAAACCUGGUCACUGGGCAGAUCAUACUUUUAGGAUAUAAAAAAGAAAGUCAAACAGCUUUAAAAAUGGAUGUGAUUGUGUCACUGAAAUUUAAGGUUUUUGUUCUCCACGUGCUGACACAGUGGGUGUGGAAUCCCUCCUGGAAUCCUUAAAGGAGUGGAGCAGGAAAAGCUGUCUGAGCCCUGCUUACUGUGCUGGGAGCUGCUCUGUGGCAUCCCUGGAAGAUUAAAAUAUUCUCCAUUUCUCACUGUGCUCUCUGGGCUUUAAGGCUGAAGUACAAAGACAUGGAUGUUGUGAGUAAUCAGUUCACGUUGCAUUUUUGGACACAGUUCACAUAUUCCUCCAGUUUCUUCAUUGCUCAGAGUAAUUUGUUGUUAAUGAUGUGAAAAGGAAGUUCUACACAUGGUUUAAUAUUAAAUAUUAAAACUCUUUAGAGGAACUCUU